rnacentral:rRNA from 1 species
UACGGAGGAUGCAAGCGUUAUCCGGAAUGAUUGGGCGUAAAGCGUCCGCAGGUGGCUAUGUAAGUCUGCUGUUAAAGAGUGAGGCUCAACCUCAUAAGAGCAGUGGAAACUACAUGGCUAGAGUGCGUUCGGGGCAGAGGGAAUUCCUGGUGUAGCGGUGAAAUGCGUAGAGAUCAGGAAGAACACCGGUGGCAAAAGCGCUCUGCUAGGCCGCAACUGACACUCAUGGACGAAAGCUAGGGGAGCGAAUGGG